rnacentral:rRNA from 1 species
UUUUAUUUUGGGGGGAAGGGGGGGAGGACGUCAAAUCUUCAUGCCCCUUAUGACUUGGGUUACCCACUUGUUCCAAUGGGGUAAACAAAGGGAAGCAAGGCCGGGAGGGGGAGCAAAUCUCAAAAAUAACGUCUCAGUUCGGACUGCAGUCUGCAACUCGCCUACACGAAGUUGGAAUUGCUAGUAAUCGCGGAUCAGAAUGCCGCGGUGAAUACGUUCCCGGGUCUUGUACACACCGCCCGUCACACCAUGGGAGCCGGGAAGACC